GACGAACGCUGGCGGCGUGCUUAACACAUGCAAGUCGAACGGUGAAGGGACUGGUUUUGCUGGUUCUGGAUGAGUGGCGAACGGGUGAGUAACACGUGAGUAACCUGCCCCCUUCUUCUGGAUAACCGCAUGAAAGUGUGGCUAAUACGGGAUAUUCUGGGUCUGUCGCAUGGUGGGUCUGGGAAAGAUUGCGCCUUUUUUGGUGUUUUUGGUGGGGGAUGGGCUCGCGGCCUAUCAGCUUGUUGGUGGGGUGAUGGCCUACCAAGGCGGUGACGGGUAGCCGGCCUGAGAGGGUGGACGGUCACACUGGGACUGAGACACGGCCCAGACUCCUACGGGAGGCAGCAGUGGGGAAUAUUGCACAAUGGGCGCAAGCCUGAUGCAGCGACGCCGCGUGAGGGAUGGAGGCCUUCGGGUUGUGAACCUCUUUCGCCAGUGAAGCAGGCCUGCCUCGUUUGUGGGUGGGUGCG
rnacentral:rRNA from 1 species